rnacentral:rRNA from 1 species
ACCUACGGGGCGCAGCAGUGGGGAAUAUUGCACAAUGGGGGAAACCCUGAUGCAGCGACGCCGCGUGAGUGAAGAAGUAUUUCGGUAUGUAAAGCUCUAUCAGCAGGAACGAGACAAGACGGUACCUGACUAAGAAGCCCCGGCUAACUACGUGCCAGCAGCCGCGGUAAUACGUAGGGGGCAAGCGUUAUCCGGAAUCACUGGGUGUAAAGGGAGCGUAGACGGCUGAGCAAGCCUGAAGUGAAAGGCGGGGGCCCAACCCCUGGACUGCUUUGGGAAGUGUACGGGUGGAGUGGAGGAGAGGG